rnacentral:rRNA from 1 species
UACGUAGGUGGCAAGCGUUGUCCGGAUUUAUUGGGUUUAAAGGGUGCGUAGGCGGUCCCUUAAGUCAGUGGUGAAAUACUCUAGCUUAACUAGAGGGGUGCCAUUGAUACUGCGGGACUUGAGUAGAGUUGAAGUGGGCGGAAUUGACGGUGUAGCGGUGAAAUGCUUAGAUAUCGUCAAGAACACCGAUAGUGAAGACAGCUCACUAAGCUCAAACUGACGCUGAGGCACGAAAGUGUGGGGAUCAAACAGG